UUUGUGGGGUGCUCGAGUGGCGAACGGGUGAGUAACACGUGAGUAACCUGCCCUUGACUUUGGGAUAACUUCGGGAAACUGGGGCUAAUACCGGAUAGGAGCUCCUGCUGCAUGGUGGGGGUUGGAAAGUUUCGGCGGUUGGGGAUGGACUCGCGGCUUAUCAGCUUGUUGGUGGGGUAGUGGCUUACCAAGGCUUUGACGGGUAGCCGGCCUGAGAGGGUGACCGGCCACAUUGGGACUGAGAUACGGCCCAG
rnacentral:rRNA from 1 species